CCCUUAGAUGUUCUGGGCUGCACGCGCGCUACACUGAAGCGUUCAACGAGUAUUCACCUUGCCCGGGAGGGUUGGGUAAUCUUUUGAAAACGCUUCGUGAUGGGGAUAGAUUAUUGCAAUUAUUAAUCUUCAACGAGGAAUUCCUAGUAAGCGCGAGUCAUCAGCUCGUGCUGAUUACGUCCCUGCCCUUUGUACACACCGCCCGUCGCUCCUACUGAUUGAGUGAUCCGGUGAAUAAUUCGGACUGCAGCACUGCUUGGUCUCCAGGCUUUGCAGCGGAAAGUUUAGUGAACCUUAUCACUUAGAGGAAGGAGAAGUCGUANCA
rnacentral:rRNA from 1 species